AAUUGUAUUAUUGACUCUCAAGUAUAAUAUACGGUCACGAAUGAAACAGUUUUCAAUCGUAUAAACGUUAUUUCCAUUCGAAUUUUUGCUCAAAAAAAUGUCAAUCGUAACUUGAAUUUCUAAUUUGCAUGUAAUGAAAACGCGAAUAACAUUAAUAAAUAAGAAUUAUUUUCUAAAUCAUCGUUUUUCGUAAUUUUUUUCGCGUCGACUCUCAAAUAUAAUAUACGGUCACGAGUGAAACAGUUUUCGAUCGUAUAAACAUUAUUUCCAUUCGAAUUUUUGCUCAAAAAAAUGUCAAUCGUAACCUGAAUUUCUAAUUUGAAUGUAAUGAAAAAGCGAAUAACAUCAAUAAAUAAGAAUUAUUUUCUAAAUCAUCGUUUUUCGUAAUUUUUUUCGCGUCGACUCUCAAGUAUAAUAUACGGUCACGAGUGAAACAGUUUUCGAUCGUAUAAACGUUAUUUCUUUUCGAAUUUUUCC